UAUCAUUAUAUCUUUGAAACUCUUUUCAAUGGGUCAGAAUAAUUCCACUCUAACUCAGCAAGGAUUGUCGAUCCAGAAUAAUCCUAGUGUGCUCUCACAAUCUAUCAGUGACACCUAGCAGUAUGUAUUGGCAACCCAGUAGAAUUUAAAUAAACCUUUAGGUAUAGUUAACGUAUGAUUUAGUCCUUCUAUCGUGAGUCCCGACUAGAUGGCAAGUUAUGGAUAAAUCGUCAAACCUCAACAUCAGUCAUAUGAUAGAUUGAUUAGCUCAAGUCCAGUUGUGACUUCUAUGAAAACUCUUUUCCAUCAAUCACACUACUGUGGCCACAGACUCUUGGACUUAGUCCCUCAAAUCCCAUAGGACUACUCCUCUCUAUCAAGGUCGAUAGAUCC
rnacentral:lncRNA from 1 species